rnacentral:rRNA from 1 species
AACAGGGGAAUAACCCGUUGAAAAACGGACUAAUACUCCAUAACACAGGGGUCCCGCAUGGGAAUAUUUGUUAAAAGAUUAAUCGGUUGAAGAUGGGCAUGCGUUCCAUUAGCUUGUGGUGAGGUAACGGCUCACCAAGGCCACGAUGGAUAGGGGAACUGAGAGGUUUAUCCCCCACACUGGAACUGAGACACGGUCCAGACUCCUACGGGAGGCAGCAGUGAGGAAUAUUGGUCAAUGGAGGCAACUCUGAACCAGCCAAGUCGCGUGGAAAGGAUGAAGGUCUUAUGGAUUGUAAACUUCUUUUGCAAGGGAAUAAAGUGGGGGACGUGUCCCUUACCUUUCCCGUCGUAGUUGUACCCUUUGCGAAUAAGGAUCGGCUAACUCCGUGCCAGCCGCUGC